AUACGGAGGAUGCGAGCGUUAUCCGGAUUUAUUGGGUUUAAAGGGUGCGUAGGCUGUGCGUUAAGUCAGGGGUGAAAUGCCGUCGCUCAACGACGGAGCUGCCCUUGAUACUGGCGUGCUGGAGUACGGAUGCCGUUGGAGGAAUGAGUGGUGUAGCGGUGAAAUGCUUAGAUAUCACUCAGAACACCGAUUGUGAAGGCAUCUGACGAAUCCGUCACUGACGCUGAGGCACGAAAGCGUGGGGAUAGAACAGGAUUAGAUACCCUGGUAUUCCACGCCGUAAACGAUGAUGACUAACCGUCGGCGAUAGACAGCCGGUGGCCAAGCGAAAGCGAUAAGUCAUCCACCUGGGGAGUACGUCGGCAACGAUGAAACUCAAAUGAAUUGACGGGG
rnacentral:rRNA from 1 species